rnacentral:rRNA from 1 species
CCUACGGGAGGCAGCAGUGAGGAAUAUUGGUCAAUGGCCGUAAGGCUGAACCAGCCAAGUCGCGUGAAGGAAGAAGGAUCUAUGGUUUGUAAACUUCUUUUAUAGGGGAAUAAAGGUAUCCACGUGUGGAUAUUUGCAUGUACCCUAUGAAUAAGCAUCGGCUAACUCCGUGCCAGCAGCCGCGGUAAUCCGGAGGAUGCGAGCGUUAUCCGGAUUUAUUGGGUUUAAAGGGUGCGUAGGUUGUUUUUUAAGUCAGCGGUGAAAGUUUGUGGCUCAACCAUAAAAUUGCCGUUGAAACUGGAAGACGUGAGUGUGUUUGAGGUAGGCGGAAUGCGUGGUGUAGCGGUGAAAUGCAUAGAUAUCACGCAGAACUCCGAUUGCGAAGGCAGCUUACUAAGCCAUAACUGACACUGAAGCACGAAAGCGUGGGGAUCAAACAGGAUUAGAUACCCUAGUAGUC